GAGGGUUCCCGGCGCGCACCCGGGUCUCCAGAGCGUCUCCUGCUCCCCCAAGGAGCCGCACGUUGACGUACCAGGUGCCAGGCGCUGUUCUUGUCGCUGGGGAUGCAGCCCCCUCCGGACUGGGACCUACUGUCCAAUGAAGGGAAAUGGAGGAAACCCAAGUCCCCAAGUAGACUGUGAUACCCGUCUGAGGGAGCAAGUGCUAAGAAGAGUGGGGCAAAGGAAGGGUGGAUGGUAAUGAGGUGAGGGGACCUUGCUUUCUGGAGGGUGACAGCUGUGACCGUACAAUGUGACCAGGAUGAUGAAAGCUUCCAUACUGUAAAUGUGGGAGGGACUCUUAGGGAGAGGGGUUCAGGAAGGCAUCCUGAGGGAGGGAAGGAUGGGGAGAAGGGGAGUGGAGUAGGCAAAUGGCCCCUCCCUAAAGAUGUCCAUGUCCUAGUCUCUGGAACCUGUGAAUAUAUUUCGUUACACAGCAAAGAAUAAUUAAGGUUGCCAAUGGAAUUACAGUUACUAAUCAACUGACUUUAAAAUAGAGAGAUUAUCCUGAAUUAUCCGGGUGGGCCCAAUGUAAUCAUGAUGGUCCUUAAAAGUGGAAGAGGGAGACAGGAGAGUCAGAGAAAGAGAUGUGAUGACACAGAAAUGCUGUGUUGCUGCUUUGGAAGAUGGAGGAAGGGGCCACAGACAAAAGCAUGUGGGUGGCCUCUAGAAGCUGGAAAAGUCAAGGAAACAGAUUCUCCCCCAGAACCUCCAGAAGGAACACGGCCCAGCUGACUGCUUGAUUUUAGACCCAUGUUGGACUUCAAACCAACAGAACCGCAGCACAGACGAGGCUCAGUGAGCGACUAUGGAUUGAGUGAAGAACCAAAAAGAACAGCGGUAAGAAGGAUUUGUUCUGCUAGAGGUGGGGAAACAGAUGGAAGAGUUAGGAAGGCUUCAAGAGGAGAUGAUAUUUGAGCAGGGUAUUAAUGGAUGAGUGGGAAUUUGCCAGGCAGAGAAAGGAAAGGAUAUUUCAGGGGGAGCAGGGAGAGGCAAAGGCAAAGGCCAGAAGGAGUGCAAGUAGAUGCAUGGUGUGAGCGGGAAACAAGAUAGAUGUGUCCAGCAGACCAUGGCAUAGGAGAGGGGGAAAGACCAGAAGGGUAGCUGGCGAGCACCAUUAUCCUUGCCCAGCUCCCAUUCCUCUUAUUCUGCUGACCACCCCUCAAUUUUCCAGAGUCUCCAGUAUGAUUGACCUUGCCUCCAAGCUCUAAAAGUGGGUCUGAGGCCCCAGCCUACCCAAUCUGAGUCAUAGGGAUGGUUUAGGGAUGGGCAUGUCAGCAGUGGGCUUCAGCCUGGGAACUUGUGGUGACUAUUAGGGUGACAGAUGCCAAGAUGUCAACUCAGGGCUGUCAACUCACGGAAGAGCUUGUCCAAGAAUAAAGCCAGCACAGAGGAAAGCAGAGCCAAGAGAAUGACUCUCAAUAACAUUGUUCGUGCUUCUGGAUCCAGCCAUGCCUGAAUCAGACAUCCAUUAUAUGAACCAACAACUUACAAUUUUUGUUUAGUCCUGUUGGAAUUGGGUUUCUGUCACUUGCCCAUUAAAGAAUAAUUAAAAGCAGACAAUAGCUCACGAUAGCU